rnacentral:rRNA from 1 species
AUGGGAUUAAGGAUGAUGAUGACCUCGGAGAUGGAGAGGGUGAGGUCGCGGGUGAUGGCGUCCUGGGUCGGCGAGGAGAAGCCGCCGGUGAAGCCGAACUGGAUGGGGCCGAGCGCCACGGCGAGCGUGCAGAGCAAGGCGGAGACGUGGGACUUGCGUAUCGCGUACCACCAGCUCCCCGUGCUCACCAGCAGCGGCUUCCGCAUGUCGUCGUCGUGGUCGCUCCCGCCGCUCUCCUGCCCUCCGCCGUCUCCGCCCUUGCCGUUCAUGGCGGCCUCGCCAAUGGACGAAAGAGGAGAAGAAGAAGAAGAAGAAGAAGAGGAGGUCGACUAUGAAGUUUGA